GCCCGCGUUGUCUAAUGGCUAUGACGUCAGACUUCUACCUUCUCGCACUCGUAGUGGGACUUGGAUCAGAAAACAAAAUCUGGAGGUUGCGGGUUCGAGUCCCGCCGUGGGUU